UACGUAGGGGGCAAGCGUUGUCCGGAAUCAUUGGGCGUAAAGCGCGUGUAGGCGGCUCGGUAAGUCUGCUGUGAAAGUCCAGGGCUCAACCCUGGGAUGCCGGUGGAUACUGUCGAGCUCGAGUCCGGAAGAGGCGAGUGGAAUUCCUGGUGUAGCGGUGGAAUGCGCAGAUAUCAGGAGGAACACCGAUGGCGAAGGCAGCUCGCUGGGACGGUACUGACGCUGAGGCGCGAAAGCGUGGGGAGCGAACAGG
rnacentral:rRNA from 1 species